UAAAACGUAGGAGGCAAGCGUUAUCCGGAUUCACUGGGCGUAAAGCGCGUGCAGGUGGCGCGGUAAGUUAGGCGUGAAAUCUCCCGGCUCAACUGGGAGAGGUCGUCUAAUACUACCGUGCUUGAGAGCAGAAGAGGAAGAUGGAAUUCCCGGUGUAGUGGUGAAAUGCGUAGAUAUCGGGAGGAACACCAGUGGCGAAGGCGAUCUUCUGGUCUGUUUCUGACACUCAGACGCGACAGCUAGGGUAGUAAACGGGAUUAGAGACCCCGGUAAUCCUAGCCGUAAACGAUGUGAACUUGGCGUUGGUGGGUUAAACUCCAUCAGUGCCGUAGCAAACGCGAUAAGUUCACCGCCUGGGGACUACGGCCGCAAGGU
rnacentral:rRNA from 1 species